UCCCUUUAAAACAUAUAAUAAAUAUACGGAACUCAAACGGAAUAAAAAGCCCCAUCUUUCCGGCCAAUCCCGUCCCAAUUAUCUUCCGAAGCAAGCAGAAAUACAAACGCCCAAUUCCAAUACACUUCUUCGCAAGAUCACUCUGCUUCACCCCUAAAAGCUCUACUACGGGACAAACACUAGUGAUCGAACCACAUAGUGGGAGGAUUAUUUAAAUAUAUUCCGCUAGGGUAUUUUGAAUAUCCAGCCGUCGUCUGCACGGGCGUGUAUAAUAAUGUAUACUCCCCACGCGGCCCCAGCAGGCAAGUGUUGGAUUACUACUGUGAAUGGGCCGCACGGAUCUUCUUUUCUUUUUUUUUCUCUUCUUUGCGGUCUAGAAAAGCGGUCGGAGUGAUUUGUUUCUUUUAUAUAUUAAUCGGGAGGGAAGAAAAUUUUUCAUUUUUCAGCCUUGAGUCUUCCUUUUAUUUUUGGACGAGCGGACCGGAAUGGGAUUUCGACAAUAUCAGGGAUAAUUAAUACAUACAUAGAUGGCGUGUUAAUGCCCUUUUUUUUUUUUUUUUUUUUCUUUUUUUUUCAACUUUCCUCCUUUUCCUGUUUCUCUCCAUCUAUUUGCGCUCUUUUUUUCUUCCAUUUCCAGUUUGUAUUAUUCUAACAGUGGCACAUUUCGGAUUGAUUUUCUCAGGUCUUGGCCGGCUGCCC
rnacentral:sRNA from 1 species